GAUGAAGAACGUAGCGAAAUGCGAUAAGUAGUGUGAAUUGCAGAAUUCAGUGAAUCAUCGAAUCUUUGAACGCACAUUGCGCCCUUUGGUAUUCCAAAGGGCAUGCCUGUUCGAGCGUCAUUUGUACCCUCAAGCUUUGCUUGGUGUUGGGCGUCUUGUCUCUAGCUUUGCUGGAGACUCGCCUUAAAGUAAUUGGCAGCCGGCCUACUGGUUUCGGAGCGCAGCACAAGUCGCACUCUCUAUCAGCAAAGGUCUAUCAUCCAUUAAGCCUUUUUUUCAACUUUUGACCUCGGAUCAGGUAGGGAUACCCGCUGAACUUAAGCAUAUCAAUAAGCGGAGGA
rnacentral:misc_RNA from 1 species